rnacentral:rRNA from 1 species
AUAAGAUCCGUAGUCGAAAGGGAAACAGCCCAGACCACCAGUUAAGGUCCCCAAAUAUAUGUUAAGUGGAAAAGGAUGUGGGGUUGCUUAGACAACCAGGAUGUUGGCUUAGAAGCAGCCACCAUUGAAAGAGUGCGUAAUAGCUCACUGGUCGAGUGACCCCGCGCCGAAAAUGUACCGGGGCUAAACAUAUUACCGAAACUGUGGAUGAACCUCUUUAGAGGUUCGUGGUAGGAGAGCGUUCUAAGGGCGGUGAAGUCAGACCGGAAGGACUGGUGGAGCGCUUAGAAGUGAGAAUGCCGGUAUGAGUAGCGAAAGAAGGGUGAGAAUCCCUUCCACCGAAUAUCUAAGGUUUCCUGAGGAAGGCUCGUCCGCUC